CAGUUCGGACUGUAGUCUGCAACCCGACUACACGAAGCUGGAAUCGCUAGUAAUCGCGAAUCAGAAUGUCGCGGUGAAUACGUUCCCGGGUCCUUGUACACACCGCCCGUCACACCAUGGGAGUCGGGAAUGCCCGAAGUCAGUGACCCAACCUAUUGGAGGGAGCUGCCGAAGGCAGGUCUGAUAACUGGGGUGAAGUCGUAACAAGGUAUC
rnacentral:rRNA from 1 species